GCAGGAGAGGAGGAGUAGGAGGGGAGGAGCAGGUGGAAGGGGUGACCCUUUUGGGGAUGAAGCAGCCCAGCUGAGGGAGUUGGGGUGCAGAGGACUUGAAGCCCUGGCCACAUUCCUGAUACAAAGCCGUAAAUUAGCUGUUUCUGUGUUAGCUUGUCUAGGAAGUCUUUUCAGCUGCAGACAGGGAGGAAAGAUGGAGAUGUCUGUCCUUAAACGAGGAGGAGGAGGGAAAAGUCAUCAGAGAUGUGAAACUGCUCAUGAGUUGUGGUUGCAGAAAAGGGAAAAAUGCUCAAGUGAAAGACUCGGAUCAGGUGUGUGGUUUUUAUACCAUGAGCUAUAUAAAGGAUUGGGACUAGCCACCUACAUUCUGGCUGAAGCUUUGGAGAGUUCUAUUGCUGAUGAUUUCAUUUACUGCUAUUUCUCCAAUGUGCCUCUGGAAGUGGAUGCCAACGUGUGAAGACACCAUGGCAGGGUCAGUGUCAGUCAGCCACCUUUAGGAUGACAGCUGCCAUGUGAAUCCAUAUCUCAUCUCCUUGGAGGUUCAUGCAAGCUGAACGGCCUGCACAGAGCUGCUGAGAGCUGUGAGGCUGAGGUGCAAGGAAAGUGCAAAGGCUUCGCGGAGGGUGGCAGAUGGAGAGAAAGACCUGCUCAUUGCUUAGGGCAUUAUGCUGGCAGCUUUGUGGAGCACUUCACGCUCAUUGUGGUGUGGGUGCAAAAUGCUACCCGAGCAGAAUGGUGGCAGUUUGCACCCCCUUUUUACUCUCAUUGUACCAGAUUCAAUGUCAAGACAAGAUGAAACUGAGGUCCUAAAUCUCAGCAGAUCACCUCUCUGAAAUUGUAUCUAGUAUGGUGGUUCUGCAUUCAGCAAAUAUCCAGUCCUGACAUCAGUUAUUCGCACAAAACUUGUUCACUUGAGUUUUCUAGCAUCUCAUGUGAGGGCUAUUCCAGAUUUUCUCAUGGGAGCCCAUUCUGCUAUUGAGUUGACCAUACUGAUAGAAACAUUCUUUGUGUUGCUCCAUCUAAACAGCCUUUUGUUUGUUAUAUCCUUCUACUUUUUGUUAUAUCCCAUUUAGUGAGUUUCUUGUUUGAGCGUACACAUCUGGAUUGGCGAGAGACAGCAGCAGCCUAAGGUGUAUAUAUACAACUUGGGUUUAAAGUUUCAUUAUGUAGGUCAAAAGCAGUUUUGAAAACAAUACCUUCUAGAAGCCACUCAGAAAACUGUCAAAUAAAGCUAUAACCAAAGCGGUCUUCGUAGAUGGG
rnacentral:lncRNA from 1 species